rnacentral:miRNA from 1 species
GCAGACACAUUCCAGCCAAUCAGCAGCAGACCCUCCCUCCCAGACCCUCCACCUCCUGGACAGCUCACUAAGAAUGCAGCUUCACAAUGAAUGUAAAAUGGAUGCUGUCCAGGAGGUGGGAGGGUCUGGGAGGGAGGGUCUGCUGCUGACUGGCUGGAAUGUGUCUG